CCUACGGGAGGCUGCAGUGAGGAAUAUUGGUCAAUGGACGCAAGUCUGAACCAGCCAUGCCGCGUGCAGGAAGACGGCUCUAUGAGUUGUAAACUGCGUUUGUACGAGGGUAAACGCAGAUACGCGUAUCUGUCUGAAAGUAUCGUACGAAUAAGGAUAGGCUAACUCCGUGCCAGCCGCCGUGGGAAUACGGAGGAUUCAAGCGUUAUUCGGAUUUAUUGGGUUUAAAGGGUGCGUAGGCGGUCGGAUAAGUUAGAGGUGAAAUCCCGAGGCUCAACGUCGGAAGUGCCUUUGAUACUGUUCGGCUAGAGAGUAGUUGAGGUAGGCGGAAUGUAAGGUGUAGCGGUGAAAUGCUUAGAGAUCAUACAGAACACCGAUUGCGAAGGCAGCUUACCAGGCUACUUCUGACGUUGAGGAACGAAAGCGUGGGGAGCAAACAGGAUUAGAUACCCCGGUAGUC
rnacentral:rRNA from 1 species